rnacentral:rRNA from 1 species
GAUGAACGCUAGCGGCAGGCCUAAUACAUGCAAGUCGGACGGGAUCCAUUGAUAGCUUGCUAUCAAUGGUGAGAGUGGCGCACGGGUGCGUAACGCGUGAGCAACCUGCCUCCAUCAGGGGGAUAGCCUCUCGAAAGAGAGAUUAACACCGCAUAAUAUCAACAGUUCGCAUGUUCAGUUGAUUAACUAUUUAUAGGAUGGAGAUGGGCUCGCGUGACAUUAGCUAGUUGGUAGGGUAACGGCUUACCAAGGCGACGAUGUCUAGGGGCUCUGAGAGGAGAAUCCCCCACACUGGUACUGAGACACGGACCAGACUCCUACGGGAGGCAGCAGUAAGGAAUAUUGGUCAAUGGGCGGAAGCCUGAACCAGCCAUGCCGCGUGCAGGAUGACUGCCCUAUGGGUUGUAAACUGCUUUUGUCCAGGAAUAAACCUAAAUACGAGUAUUUAGCUGAAUGUACUGGAAGAAUAAGGAUCGGCUAACUCCGUG